AGAACGAACGCUGGCGGCAUGCCUAAUACACGCAAGUCGAACGAACUCUUCGGAGUUAGUGGCGCACGGGUGCGUAACGCGUGGGAAUCUGCCCCUUGGUUCGGAAUAACAGUUGGAAACGACUGCUAAUACCGGAUGAUGACGAAGGUCCAAAGAUUUAUCGCCAAGGGAUGAGCCCGCGUAGGAUUAGCUAGUUGGUGAGGUAAAGGCUCACCAAGGCAACGAUCCUUAGCUGGUCUGAGAGGAUGAUCAGCCACACUGGGACUGAGACACGGCCCAGACCUCCUACGGGAGCAGCAGUAGGGAAUAUUGGACAAUGGG
rnacentral:rRNA from 1 species